rnacentral:rRNA from 1 species
UACAGAGACUGCAAGCGUUAUUCGGAUUCACUGGGCGUAAAGGGUGCGCAGGCGGCCGGGUGUGUCAGAUGUGAAAUCCCGAGGCUUAACCUCGGAACUGCGUCUGAAACUACUCGGCUAGAGUACUGGAGAGGGUAACGGAAUUCACGGUGUAGCAGUGAAAUGCGUAGAUAUCGUGAGGAACACCAGAGGCGAAGGCGGUUACCUGGACCGACAUUGACGCUGAGGCGCGAAAGCCAGGGGAGCAAACGGG